rnacentral:rRNA from 1 species
UACGGAGGGGGCGAGCGUUAUUCGGAAUCAUUGGGCGUAAAGCGCGUGUAGGCGGUUCGGUAAGUCCGCUGUGAAAGUCGGGGGCUCAACCCUCGGAUGCCGGUGGAUACUGUCGAGCUUGAGUACGGAAGAGGCGAGUGGAAUUCCUGGUGUAGCGGUGAAAUGCGCAGAUAUCAGGAGGAACACCAAUUGCGAAGGCAGCUCGCUGGGACGUUACUGACGCUGAGACGCGAAAGCGUGGGGAGCAAACAGG